AACGUGCUGGUCAGGAAGAUCGGCGGCUUGAGGCUGCCCUCCGAAAGCGCCGGAUCGUAUCCCGCGCCCAUCA
rnacentral:tRNA from 1 species